rnacentral:rRNA from 1 species
GACGAACGCUGGCGGCGUGCUUAACACAUGCAAGUCGAACGGAAAGGCCCUGCUUUUGUGGGUGCUCGAGUGGCGAACGGGUGAGUAACACGUGAGUAACCUGCCCUUGACUUUGGGAUAACUUCAGGAAACUGGGGCUAAUACCGGAUAGGAGCUCCUGCUGCAUGGUGGGGGUUGGAAAGUUUCGGCGGUUGGGGAUGGACUCGCGGCUUAUCAGCUUGUUGGUGGGGUAGUGGCUUACCAAGGCUUUGACGGGUAGCCGGCCUGAGAGGGUGACCGGCCACAUUGGGACUGAGAUACGGCCCAGACUCCUACGGGAGGCAGCAGUGGGGAAUAUUGCACAAUGGGCGGAAGCCUGAUGCAGCAACGCCGCGUGCGGGAUGACGGCCUUCGGGUUGUAAACCGCUUUCGCCUGUGACGAAGCGUGAGUGACGGUAAUGGGUAAAGAAGCACCAGCUAACUACGUG